CAUCUUAUUGGGUGUUGUUUUCUACUUUGUCUAAUCCUUUUGGAUUUUUUGCUCUUAAAAGAUUAAUAUCUAUAAAUGACUCAUUAUGCAUUAUAUAUAUAUAGUAACAAGGUCAAAGACAUGGUUUAAUUUGUAGAAAAGGAAAUGAGGAAGCUUUGGCUCUGCUUCAACUUCAACAGCUCAUUUCUGCUUCCUAAUAAGAGCUUCAACUUCAAGAACUCAUUUCUAUUUCCAACUAAGUGCAGAUUUCUUAGUGUUAGAAACAAAGGAAAUAGAAGUGGAUUAGUGAAUCUUUACAAGGAUAUGGAGGCUUGUUCAGGAUACAAUGAUAUACAAGUUAUGUGGGAGAUUAUUCACUCCAAUGUCAAUGAAACCAAAUGCAAGAAAAGGUCUUUUUGCUGGAGAUCUCAUAACAAGAUAGUCCAAGCAUCUCCUAUCAGGAUAUGAGACUUCAGUAUAAGAUAUAUGCUUACAUCAUCGAAUUGCUUUGACUUCCUAUAUCCAUAUCUUCGCUCCAUGGAAGAAUAUGUUAUACUGCUUAAACACGGAAAAAUUAAAAUUUUAGA